UUUAGCCUGUCAGAAGACUAAAGUCUAGGUUUGUGCUCUACACAUUUGUUGAACGACAUUCAUUGUUGGCAAUAAACGGUCUUUUUUCAGAAACCUCUGCAGUCGUAGGAUUCAGGAAUGGAUGCACAAUGAGGCCACCACCAACUUUCUCGAUAUUUGUGAUGUGGACAAUAUUGCAUCUCAAUCACUGAGCUAAGCUGUUUAUGGUAUUCCCACAGUGCUGCUGCUUAGGGAGUUCCAGGAUUUUGAACCAGCAGUGAUAAAAGAAAGGUGCUAUAGCUCAAGGACAGGCAGCCACCAAACAAAGAAACAUCAUGGAACCUGUUCAAAGAAAACAUCAAGCUCCCAACCUGCAAAAAAAAGAAUAAACUGCGCAAAUGGCAAAAAAUUAGCAGGAAACACAGAACAUAAAACGUCCAACCACAGCGUCCUUGAAGCAGGCCGGCACUGUUCAGUUUAGUUCAGUUCAGUUGAACUUAGCACCAUGUAGUUUGGUGACUGCAGGCUGGCGAGCAGGUCCACCCAGAUCAAAAUUGCACAAAAGAAAGAGUAACCAGAAACCAGAAACACAGAUAAUAUGAACUGCAAAAGGCGAUCUACAAAUCAUGUCGAUCAAACCUGGCCCAAGAUCCAGGGCUCUGGCACCAUCUCCGGGAGCAUCAGGCGAGAGGAAGAGAGAGACCAGUCUCUCUCCCUGUCGCUCGCUGCUCUUGGAGGGGGGUGCAGCAAGCGACAGGGAGAGAGACCAAUCGAAUUCCGGCACUGAACACCCGCUCACCUUCCGCCCUCACCCUCGCUGAUUUCAGUCUUGCUCGACGCUUUAAUCGAUGAGACCGGCGAGAAGUGGAAUCUAUCAUGAGCUUGCGUCUUGUCUCCAGUCUUCUUGGCCUCCAGGAUGCACACUGUAUUACAGAUCUCACCAGACUCCCUCAGAGACCACAAAGCUCAAUCGGCCCGAAAGCACACCACUACAAACACCUCCAUUUAAAGACAGUAGCUGCAAAUUACAAAUUGCACUGCUUUAUCCAUAUGUUUAAGCAAAGAACUUCUGUGCUGAUUCAAUAUAUGAAGCCACUCUCUCUAGUGGUGAAAAACCACAACAGUCUAGUAAGUCCACACUCUGUAAACAUGAUCCACUCUUAAUUGACAAUGGUGAUAUUCACUGUUCCCUCUGAGCUGUGUGGUGCAUGGCCAUGCAGAAGCUAAAGUGCCUCCGUGCACGUACCCUUUGU